ensembl:ncRNA ZK892.10 ncRNA
GGGCUCAUAGGAACCACGUCAUAAAUCUAAAAGCCUUUAUGUGCACGAACCGUUAGCACAAUCUUCCCCCUCUUUUGCAGA